GAUACCCUGGUAGUNCACGCCGUAAACGAUGUCGACUUGGAGGUUGUUCCCUUGAGGAGUGGCUUCCGGAGCUAACGCGUUAAGUCGACCGCCUGGGGAGUACGGCCGCAAGGUUAAAACUCAAAUGAAUUGACGGGGGCCCGCACAAGCGGUGGAGCAUGUGGUUUAAUUCGAUGCAACGCGAAGAACCUUACCUACUCUUGACAUCCAGGGAAUUUGGCAGAGAUGCUUUGGUGCCUUCGGGAACGCUGAGACAGGUGCUGCAUGGCUGUCGUCAGCUCGUGUUGUGAAAUGUUGGGUUAAGUCCCGCAACGAGCGCAACCCUUAUCCUUUGUUGCCAGCGAUUCGGUCGGGAACUCAAAGGAGACUGCCGGUGAUAAACCGGAGGAAGGUGGGGAUGACGUCAAGUCAUCAUGGCCCUUACGAGUAGGGCUACACACGUGCUACAAUGGCGCAUACAAAGAGAAGCGACCUCGCGAGAGCAAGCGGACCUCACAAAGUGCGUCGUAGUCCGGAUCGGAGUCUGCAACUCGACUCCGUGAAGUCGGAAUCGCUAGUAAUCGUGGAUCAGAAUGCCACGGUGAAUACGUUCCCGGGCCUUGUACACACCGCCCGUCACACCAUGGGAGUGGGUUGCAAAAGAAGUAGGUAGCUUAACCUUCGGGAGGGCGCUUACCACUUUGUGAUUCAUGACUGGGGUGAAGUC
rnacentral:rRNA from 1 species